rnacentral:lncRNA from 1 species
GUAAUGGUUGCUCCAGAUCCUCCUGGAACAGAUUCAGAAACAGAGAUUGACAUAGUAUUGUAAACUUCUUGCCUAAGGUAGCAUGCGUACCAAAGGUUGACAUGUUUUGUGAAACUUCAGAAGAUUAAAAAUUAUUAACCAAGAAUGGAUCAGCAACACAAAGGAUCUACCCAACCAUGGCACAGGAGAUGCAGGUCCUGCCCUCCUUCCUGAGUGCCCAGACACUGUGGUGACAUUCUGUGUCUCUCUUGUCCUGCUGAUCCUUGUCAUGUGCCCCCAGCCCUGCGUUGAUAUAGGCCGUGUAGGAAGUACUUUAAAAUGCAGGGAAGAUACAGCACUUAACCAACAGGGGAAGCAGAAACCACUGGACAAGCAAGAAACAGCUGGACUAAUGAGCAUGGAUUUGGAAAACCCUAAUUCAUCUUAUUAUUACUUGCAUAUUAAAGCUAUCUGCAAAUGAUGUCUCAAUGCCUUAUUUUCUCCUCUGCA